rnacentral:rRNA from 1 species
UGGCGGACGGGUGAGUAACGCGUGGAAAACCUGCCGUAUACUGGGGGAUAACACUUAGAAAUAGGUGCUAAUACCGCAUAAGCGCACAGCUUCGCAUGAAGCGGUGUGAAAAACUCUGGUGGUAUACGAUGGUUCCGCGUCUGAUUAGCUAGUUGGUGGGGUAAUGGCCUACCAAGGCAACGAUCAGUAGCCGGCCUGAGAGGGCGACCGGCCACAUUGGGACUGAGACACGGCCCAAACUCCUACGGAAGGCAGCAG